rnacentral:rRNA from 1 species
CGGCGGACGGGUGAGUAACACGUGGGUAACCUGCCCUAUAGAGGGGGAUAGCCAACCGAAAGGUUGAUUAAUACCGCAUAACCCUGGAUGGCUGCAUAGCCAACCAGGCAAAGGAGCAAUCCGCUAUAGGAUGGACCCGCGGCCCAUUAGCUAGUUGGUGAGAUAACAGCCCACCAAGGCGACGAUGGGUAGCCGAUCUGAGAGGAUGAACGGCCACAUUGGAACUGAGACACGGUCCAGACUCCUACGGGAGGCAGCAGUGGGGAAUAUUGCGCAAUGGGGGAAACCCUGACGCAGCAACGCCGCGUGAGCGAUGAAGGCCUUCGGGUCGUAAAGCUCUUUAACCAGGGAUGAUAAUGACAGUACCUGGGGAAUAAGCCACGGCUAACUACGUGCCAGCAGCCGCGGUAAUACGUAGGUGGCGAGCGUUGUCCGGAAUUACUGGGCGUAAAGGAUGCGUAGGCGGAAUCUUAAGUCAGAUGUGAAAUCCCUGGGCUCAACCCGGGAAUGGCAUUUGAAACUGGGAUUCUAGAGUGCA